rnacentral:rRNA from 1 species
CGCUGGCGGCGUGCUUAACACAUGCAAGUCGAACGCUGAAGCCUAGCUUGCUGGGUGGAUGAGUGGCGAACGGGUGAGUAACACGUGAGUAACCUGCCCUCUUCUUUGGGAUAACGCCCGGAAAUGGGUGCUAAUACUGGAUAUUCACUGGUCUUCGCAUGGGGGUUGGUGGAAAGGGUUUUUCUGGUGGGGGAUGGGCUCGCGGCCUAUCAGCUUGUUGGUGGGGUGAUGGCCUACCAAGGCUUUGACGGGUAGCCGGCCUGAGAGGGUGACCGGUCACAUUGGGACUGAGAUACGGCCCAGACUCCUACGGGAGGCAGCAGUGGGGAAUAUUGCACAAUGGGCGCAAGCCUGAUGCAGCGACGCCGCGUGAGGGAUGGAGGCCUUCGGGUUGUGAACCUCUUUCGCUCAUGGUCAAGCCGCAACUGUGGGUUGUGGUGAGGGUAGUGGGUAAAGAAGCGCCGGCUAACUACGUGCCAGCAGCCG